CAUGUCAUCCCCACAAGCACAUCAUGUGCCAGCAAUCUUCGUAAACUUGCAACGGGAUACUAUCAGAGCUACGAACCUUGUUGCAACAAAAUUUGUCUGAGGGCCACGUUGGGUUCAGUGGAACAAACCUCCUGCUGGUACUGUUAUUAAAUACUGAUGGAGCAAUUCGGUGUAGCUCUCGAAUGGCUUCAGGGGGGUCUCUUGCGAAAUGAAAAUGGAGACUGGAUGGAAGGUUUUAUGCUGAAUAUAGGGGUGACUACUCGUGCCGAAUUUUGGGGAGUUCGGGGAGGGUCUGUUUUUUAGAUAAUUUAAUAUUUGAAUAUGAUGUUUUUUUUUUUUUUUGAGUUAGUGUGAAUAUUUGUCACUAUGUUUUAGGUGAAAAUUGAAAUUUGUCAUUAUAUUUUUCAUUAAUUGAUAUUUAUUAUUAUACUUUUGAACUAAAGAUAAA